UACGAAGGGGGCUAGCGUUGUUCGGAAUUACUGGGCGUAAAGCGCACGUAGGCGGAUUGGCAAGUCAGGGGUGAAAUCCCGGGGCUCAACCUCGGAACUGCCUUUGAUACUGCCAGUCUAGAGUCCGGAAGAGGUGGGUGGAAUUCCUAGUGUAGAGGUGAAAUUCGCAGAUAUUAGGAAGAACACCGGUGGCGAAGGCGGCCCACUGGUCCGGAACUGACGCUGAAGUGUGAAAGCGUGGGGAGCAAACAGG
rnacentral:rRNA from 1 species